UUAAUCGAAGUUCGUGGUAUU
ensembl:piRNA 21ur-3695 ncRNA